rnacentral:rRNA from 1 species
UACGUAGGGUGCGAGCGUUGUCCGGAAUUAUUGGGCGUAAAGAGCUCGUAGGCGGUUCGAUAAGUCGGAUGUGAAAUCUCCACGCUCAACGUGGAGAGGCCAUUCGAUACUGUCGUGACUCGAGUCCGGUAGGGGAGUGUGGAAUUCCAGGUGUAGCGGUGAAAUGCGCAGAUAUCAGGAGGAACACCGAGUGGCGAAGGCAGGUCUCUGGGCAUUAACUGACGCUGGAGGAGCGGAAAGCCAUGGGGAGCGAACAGGA